rnacentral:rRNA from 1 species
GAUGAACGCUGGCGGUAUGCUUAACACAUGCAAGUCGAACGGACUCUUCGGAGUUAGUGGCGGACGGGUGAGUAACGCGUGAGAAUCUGGCUUUGGGUUCGGGACAACCACUGGAAACGGUGGCUAAUACCGGAUGUGCCGAGAGGUAAAAGAGAAAUUGCCUGAAGAUGAGCUCGCGUCUGAUUAGCUAGUUGGUGAGGUAAAGGCUCACCAAGGCAGCGAUCAGUAGCUGGUCUGAGAGGAUGACCAGCCACACUGGGACUGAGACACGGCCCAGACUCCUACGGGAGGCAGCAGUGGGGAAUUUUCCGCAAUGGGCGGAAGCCUGACGGAGCAAUACCGCGUGAGGGGAGAAGGCUCUUGGGUUGUAAACCUCUUUUCUUAGGGAAGAACAAAAUGACGGUACCUAAGGAAUCAGCAUCGGCUAACUCCGUG